rnacentral:rRNA from 1 species
AUUGAACGCUGGCGGCAGGCCUAACACAUGCAAGUCGAGCGGAGCGGCGGACGGGUGAGUAAUGCUUAGGAAUCUGCCUGGUAGUGGGGGAUAACGUCCGGAAACGGGCGCUAAUUCCGCAUACUAUCACAUGAGCCUAGGCCGGAUUAGCUAGAUGGUGGGGUAAAGGCAUACCAUGGCGACGAUCCGUAACUGUUCUGAGAGGAUGAUCAGUCACACUGGAACUGAGACACGGUCCAGACUCCUACGGGAGGCAGCAGUGGGGAAUAUUGGACAAUGGGCGAAAGCCUGAUCCAGCCAUGCCGCGUGUGUGAAGAAGGUCUUCGGGUUGUAAAGCACUUUAAGUUGGGAGGCGUUACCAACAGAAUAAGCACCGGCUAACUUCGUGCCAGCAGCCGCGGUAAUAC